GCGGGAGGCGGGACUAUGCCGUCGCUCAAUCUACGCUGAGAGUGGGGCGGUGCUGGUGGACGGUGGCGAUGCGAUAGCUGUCCUCUGGGGGCGGGGGGGGCAGUGCUCUCCACCAUAGCGCGUGCGGGCCGGCAGAACGCAACGGGAAGGAGGGUGGUCGGACAAUGGGACUCAUUCCGAAAACAGCCUUAUAAACACCUGGGCUAGAGAACAUGGUACUGAGUGGGUAUACCACAUUCCUUACCAUGCACCAGCUGCUGGGAAAGUUGAGUGGUGCAACGGACUGCUUAAAAUCACCUUGAAGGCACUGAGCAGGAGUGUCACAUGUCCCGGCUAGAUGAGCUCCGCUGAAUCCCAGCUACCAGUGCAAGUGCGGCGCAAAAACAAAAGAGCAGCACCACAGGUCCUGGGGUGGAACUGGGGUAACUUUAUUCGAUGGCAAAACUCCCCCUCCCCAGCAUCCCAGAAUGCCAAACUGAGGGCAGACAAUAGCUUAUAAACGGGGGGAGGUCUCAGGGGAGGAUACAGUCUUUAACUAAUCAGGAAAACUGUGAGUAAAAAAUAAGGCAGGGAAUACAAUGUAUAAACCAAUAAGGAAUUUCAAGGGAGAAAAACAACUCCAAUGAACUAAUGGGGUUUGGGAGAAUACAAAACUGACAGGGAAGUUUCUAGGGAGAAGGCAGGUUCGGAGAGAGACUGACAUUUAAUGGAAGGAGGAGUAAGAAAGGUUCUGGGAAAAGGGCAGGGACAGGAGGGGUUAGCAACUGGAAAGGGGAGGUGGUUUAAAGCUUGACAGGGAGUAGCUAGGUAACAAACAAAAAACCAACACUUAACUAAACUAAAUAACAAUGAGGGAGCAAGUCUAGUUUUAAAAACAUAAAAUACAAAAUGGGAAACCUUUGCCACUCUAAAGGCAGGAAAAGGACAGCAUAAGGGAAUUACAAAAUUACAAAUCAAACAAUAAACAUACUAAUAAAAAAACACACCACUACACAGGGGGACUUUGAAAAAUUAGGAGCGACUUUUAGCAAAGGCUAUGUGGUUAGUUAACACCCAAGGCUCCACCAACCUAGCUGGCCCUGCCCAAUCUGAACCCCUGCGUACAAAAGACAGGGAUAAGGUUCUGGGGAUAUGCAUGAGAGGUAUGCUAGGAAAAACUGGAUUAAUUCUGCCUGAGGCAAAGACAAACCGAUCAGUGGGGUUGUCUUUGCUCAGGAAGCAGGUUGCACCUAGUGGGUUGUAAGAGCCAAAAUGAGGGAUGCGGGACGCCAGGCGGCUCUUCAAAAUGCAGUUUAUUACAUCCAAAAUGUUACAGCAGUCCAGGGUCGUGGGUGACAGAGCCUGUGCCUACAGCUGUCAGCUCCAGCAGCAGGCAGGUCUGGAGACCCUUAGUUUAGGUUAAAAAUGCAUUAUAUACUUUUCUUUGCUGAGCAUCUUAAUACAGUAAAGCAAUCUAUACCUUAACUUUUAUCUAUAGCCUGUCAUAAUUGCUAUAAUUACCAUAUUCAUGUUACUAUUCUCCAAUCACUAAAAGUUAGUACAUAACACUUUAAGCUAGAAGUUGUUUUUCAGUUUUCUUGCAGUGGAAAAUUCUGAGACCUUUUUUCUACUUGCAACACUGGCAGUCUUGUUUGCCUGUGCUAUCUUUCUGCUUGGUAAAAACAUCUUGUUUGAGGUGGUUUAACCUUUGCUCUAAGUCAUAAAAACCCCUUUCUAGCUAACAUACCCUUUGCCUGCUUAGUUAUGCAGUAAGACUAGCUCAGCAAUUCUUUUCUUCUAUAUCAAAACUUGCUUUCAUCUCUAUUUCUUCUUCAGAUUGAACAUUCAAAAAUCUUUCUGCCAAGCAUACAUAUCUGUGAGACUUUCAUGUCAAACUUUCAUCCUUCCCAACAGUGGGUGAUGCAGAAGGAUGAAGAGACAUAACACAUACCUCAAGGGGACCUUGUUUUGGUGUAAACUGUCCAUCACACUGCCUGUAUCUAGAUGUAUAUAUGUAUAUAAUUAGUGUAAUGCAUGUGUAAAAAACUCCAAUCACUUGUUUUUAAAAAUUUAAAAGUUUAAUUGUAAUAAAAUGGUUAAAAAAUAGUAAUAAAAUUAGAGUAAUAAAAAUUUGGACAAUUAGGGUUAGGACAAUACGAGACAAUAAAAACAAAGAGUUAUGGACAGUCCAGGUACCUUUUACUGGGCAAAAUAAGUCCAAAAAAGGACACAUGUUAACAGAGGAUUAACCCUUAAAAGCAAUAGCCUGUUGCAUAUUCAUACAUCUCAUACAUGAUGCAUAAAUUCCAUUCAAACAAAGGAUUCUGUCUGGUCCGUGUCAACUUUUCCUCUAAAUCCUAAUGGUGUCUUCAGGGUUGAGUGAGGCGGGAAGAAGUUAGUUUCUUCUGAUAAUGGAGCAAUAAAUUAUUUUUCUCUGAAA